rnacentral:misc_RNA from 1 species
AAGUCGUAACAAGGUUUCCGUAGGUGAACCUGCGGAAGGAUCAUUACUGGGUAAAGGCUUCGCGCCUCCAACCCCACCCUUUGUAACCGCGGCCCGGAUUCGGCGCCUGGCGGGGGACCCCUCUGUUCGCGGAGGCCCUUCGCCUGCCGGAAUCAGCCAACACUGCCUCGAAAUUGAAGUCUGAGAACAAGUUAAAUUAAACAAAACUUUCAACAACGGAUCUCUUGGUUCUG